CGCGUAGGCGGUGUACUAAGUCAGGCGUGAAAGCCCUGGGCUCAACCCGGGAAUUGCGCUUGAUACUGGUACGCUUGAAUCCAGGAGAGGUUGGUGGAAUUCCCAGUGUAGAGGUGAAAUUCGUAGAGAUUGGGAAGAACACCGGUGGCGAAGGCGGCCAACUGGACUGGUAUUGACGCUGAGGCGCGAAAGCGUGGGGAAGCAAACAG
rnacentral:rRNA from 1 species